UGGGGAAUAUUGGACAAUGGGGGGAACCCUGAUCCAGCAAUGCCGCGUGUGUGAAGAAGGCCUGAGGGUUGUAAAGCACUUUUAGUGGGGAGGAGGGUAUUUAGGUUAAGAGCUAGAAUACUGGACGUUACCUACAGAAACAGCACCGGCUAACUCCGUGCCAGCAGCCGCGGUAAUACGGAGGGUGCAAGCGUUAAUCGGAAUUACUGGGCGUAAAGGGUGCGUAGGUGGUUAUAUAAGUUAUCUGUGAAAUCCCCGGGCUCAACCUGGGCAGGUCAGAUAAGACUGUGUAACUCGAGUAUAGGAGAGGGUAGUGGAAUUUCCGGUGUAGCGGUGAAAUGCGUAGAGAUCGGAAGGAACACCAGUGGCGAAGGCGGCUACCUGGCCUAAUACUGACACUGAGGCACGAAAGCGUGGGGAGCAAACA
rnacentral:rRNA from 1 species